rnacentral:rRNA from 1 species
GGAGGGGGCAAGCGUUAUUCGGAAUUAUUGGGCGUAAAGCGCGUGUAGGCGGCUUCGUAAGUCUUUAUGUGAAAGCCCUCGGCUCAACCGAGGAAUUGCAUGGGAAACUGCGUGGCUUGAGUCCGGGAGAGGAGAGUGGAAUUCCCAGUGUAGCGGUGAAAUGCGUAGAUAUUGGGAGGAACACCGGUGGCGAAGGCGGCUCUCUGGACCGGUACUGACGCUGAGACGCGAAAGCCAGGGGAGCAAACGGGAUUAGAUACCCCGGGUAGUCCUGGCUGUAAACGAUGAGCACUUGGUGUGGCGGGUAUCGACCCCCUGCUGUGCCGAAGCUAACGCAUUAAGUGCUCCGCCUGGGGAGUACGGCCGCAAGGCUG